CCUACGGGUGGCAGCAGUGAGGAAUAUUGGUCAAUGGCCGGAAGGCUGAACCAGCCAAGCCGCGUGAAGGACGAAGGUGCCAAGCAUUGUAAACUUCUUUUGUCAAGGGACAAAAUCAGGCUCGAGAGCCUGACCGAGGGUACUUGAAGAAAAAGCAUCGGCUAACUCCGUGCCAGCAGCCGCGGUAAUACGGAGGAUGCGAGGGUUAUCCGGAUUUAUGGGGUUUAAAGGGUGCGUAGGCGGACUGUUAAGUCAGCGGUAAAAGCCCGGGGCUCAACCCCGGCGAGCCGUUGAAACUGGGGGUCUUGAGAUGUCGAGAGGUAUGCGGAAUGCGCAGUGUAGCGGUGAAAUGCUUAGAUAUUGCGCAGAACUCCGAUUGCGAAGGCAGCAUACCGGCGGCGAUCUGACGCUGAGGCACGAAAGCGUGGGUAUCGAACAGGAUUAGAUACCCUUGUAGUC
rnacentral:rRNA from 1 species